rnacentral:lncRNA from 1 species
CAGGAAUUCCCCGAACUGGAUCGUUGUGAUUGUCUGGGAAUUCCCAGAACUGGAUCCAGGAAUUCCUGGAGCUGGCUCCAGAAAUUCCCGGAGCUGGAUGCAGGAAUUUCUGGGACUGGAUCCCUCCAGAUCUGUGGCAAUUCCUGGAACAAGAUCCAGGAAUUCCCGGAGCUGGAUCCUUCUGGAUCUCUGGGAAUUCCCAGAGCUGGAUGCAGGAAUUCCCGGAGCUGGAUGCAGGAAUUCCCAGAGCUGGAUCCCUCUGGAUCUCUGGGAAUUCCCAGAGCUGGACCCCUGUGAUUGGCAAUUCCCGGAGCUGGAUUCAGGAAUUCCCGGAGCUGGAUCCCUCUGGAUCUGUGGCAAUUCCCGGAGCUGGAUCCCUGUGAUUGGCAAUUCCGGGACCUGGAUUCGGGAAUUCCCGGAGCUGGAUCCCUCUGGAUCUGUGGCAAUUCCCGGAACUGGAUCCCUCCUGCUCCCGGGAAUUCCGGGAUUGGGGGAUCAGGGACACAAAGCACUUACACCUCCCCCUGUGCCCGACCUUCCAAAGGCUCCCAAAUCCCGGGAAUUUUCCAAUUCCCGCCGGGAAUCUCCCCAAAAAUCCCUUGGGCAGAGCCAGGAGCGGGAGCUGGGAAAUUCCAGGUGGGGAUUUUGUUUUUCCUGUGGGGAAAAAACAACAAAAAAAAAAACACAAACAAAAAAAGCCAAAACAAAACAAAAAAAAAGCAACAAAAAACCGGGAGAUCGGGGGAAGGAGAAGGAAAAAAAAAAGGAAAAAAAGGAAAAUCUGGAGAUUAUCCACAUUUCGCUUGCACUGGGGUACGUUUUUCUUUACCCAUUUCCACGCUCUCCUUUAGGAUGGUUGCAUGUCUCCUUUUGGGGUUUUUUCCCUUUAUUUUAUUCGUUUUUAGGAUUUUUUGUUGUUGUUUUUUUAAAUAUUCAACGAAAGAGAAAAAUGUGUAUAUUUUUGGCAAUUCAAGGCGAUGUAGCUAAGAUAUAUUUUUUUCACGCUGCUUGACUGGUCUUUAUUAUAAUAAAUAUUAAUAUUAAUAUUAU